rnacentral:snRNA from 1 species
GGAUGUGAGGGAAUCUGGCUGUGACAUCUGUCACCCCCUUGAUCACCAGGGUUGAUUCGGCUGAUCUGGCUGGCUAAGCGGGUGUCUCCUUCCUCCCUCAAUACUCCACGUGCAUCUCUCCUGAAGCUGCACACUCGGUCGAAGAGGACGACCAUCCCCGAUAGAGGAGGACUGUUCCUUGGUCAAGGGUAUAAGAGUAGCUGCGCUCUCCUGCUAGAACCUCCAAAUACACUCUCAAGGUGCAUGUAACAUGUUGGUUGUAGUCAGUGUUCUG